AGUGAACGCUGGCGGCGUGCUUAACACAUGCAAGUCGAACGAGAACGGAUUAUAGCUUGCUAUAAUUGUCAGCUAAGUGGCGCACGGGUGAGUAAUAUAUAGGUAAUGUGCCCUAGAGAAGAGGAUAACAGUUGAAAACGACUGCUAAGACUCUAUAUGCCUUUAAGACAGAAGUCUGCAAGGGAAAUAUUUAUAGCUCUAGGAUCAGCCUGUACAGUAUCAGCUAGUUGGUGAGGUAAUGGCUCACCAAGACAAUGACGCUUAACUGGUUUGAGAGGAUGAUCAGUCACACUGGAACUGAGACACGGUCCAGACUCCUACGGGAGGCAGCAGUGGGGAAUAUUGCACAAUGGACGAAAGUCUGAUGCAGCAACGCUGCGUGGAGGAUGACACAUUUCGGUGCGUAAACUCCUUUUAUAUAGGAAGAUAAUGACGGUACUAUAUGAAUAAGCACCGG
rnacentral:rRNA from 1 species